GAUGAACGCUGGCGGCGUGCCUAAUACAUGCAAGUCGAACGAGACGGAAGGGAGCUUGCUCCUUGAUGUCUAGUGGCGAACGGGUGAGUAACACGUAGGUAACCUGCCUUACAGUUUGGGAUACCCAAGGGAAACUUUGGCUAAUACCGGAUAAAUGAUCGGGAGGCAUCUCCUGAUUCUAAAAGGGGCCUUUAAAGCCUCGCUGAAAGAUGGACCUGCGGCGCAUUAGCUAGUUGGUGAGAUAACAGCCCACCAAGGCGAGGAUGCGUAGCCGACCUGAGAGGGUGAACGGCCACACUGGAACUGAGACACGGUCCAGACUCC
rnacentral:rRNA from 1 species